GCAUCAAAAUCGACUUUAAACCCAUACUUGGCAAGCACGAUUUGUAGAGCGUCUUCUUCAACCAUGGUGGACAAAAGAUCUUCUGAAACCGCGACACAUGAUGGAAAAGUCCAUGAACGAAAUAUUGGGAAGAAGAAGGCACCGGUAAAACCUAAAGAUCAGAAAGCGAAUUUGGAGGCAAAAGUGGGCAAAGAUAAUUGAUAGUAACGUUAUGUCAUACUAAUACGAUUCUGAAAUCGACGAGGAGGGUGAUCCAAAAGCCUACUUCAACAGUGGUCGACACUCGAGCUUCUGGAUCGGCGAGGCCUGACGGAAAAGUGUAUCAGAGAACGACGUGAAGAAGAAGAUACCGCCGAUUCCAAAAGCACCGAAAGGAUGUUUAGAAUACCACUAUUUUAAUGAA